rnacentral:rRNA from 1 species
GAUGAACGCUAGCGAUAGGCCUAACACAUGCAAGUCGAGGGGCAGCACAUGAAGUAGCAAUACGGAUGGUGGCGACCGGCGCACGGGUGAGUAACGCGUAUGCAACCUGCCUACAACAGGGGAAUAACCCGUUGAAAGACGGACUAAUACCCCAUAACACAGGGAUCCCGCAUGGGAAUAUUUGUUAAAGAUUUAUCGGUUGUAGAUGGGCAUGCGUUCCAUUAGCUGGUUGGUGAGGUAACGGCUCACCAAGGCAACGAUGGAUAGGGGAACUGAGAGGUUUAUCCCCCACACUGGUACCGAGACACGGACCAGACUCCUACGGGAGGCAGCAGUGAGGAAUAUUGGUCAAUGGACGCAAGUCUGAACCAGCCACGUCGCGUGAAGGAAGACGGCCCUACGGGUUGUAAACUUCUUUUGUAAGGGAAUAAAGUGCAGUACGUGUACUGUUUUGCAUGUACCUUACGAAUAAGGAUCGGCUAACUCCGUGCCAGCAGCCGCGGUAAUACGGAGGAUCCGAGCGUUAUCCGGAUUUAUUGGGUUUAAAGGGUGCGCAGGCGGGAGAUUAAGUCGGCGGUGAAAUUUUGCAGCUCAACCGUAAAAGUGCCUUCGAAACUGGUUUCCUUGAGUGUGGAUGAAGUAGGCGGAAUUUGUGGUGUAGCGGUGAAAUGCAUAGAUAUCACGAGGAACUCCGAUUGCGCAGGCAGCUUACUAAACCAUAACUGACGCUCAGGCACGAAGGCGUGGGGAUCAAACA